rnacentral:rRNA from 1 species
UUGACAGCAGGAAUGACUUGGAGCUUCGCUCCUUAGAUCAUCCGCGGACGGGUGAAUAAUGCCUAGGAAUCUGCCUGGAUGGGGGACAACGUUUCGAAAGGAACGCUAAUACCGCAUACGUCCUACGGGAGAAAGCAGGGGACCUUCGGGCCUUGCGCUAUCAGAUGAGCCUAGGUCGGAUUAGCUAGUUGGUGGGGUAAUGGCUCACCAAGGCGACGAUCCGUAACUGGUCUGAGAGGAUGAUCAGUCACACUGGAACUGAGACACGGUCCAGACUCCUACGGGAGGCAGCAGUGGGGAAUAUUGGACAAUGGGCGAAAGCCUGAUCCAGCCAUGCCGCGUGUGUGAAGAAGGUCUUCGGAUUGUAAAGCACUUUAAGUUGGGAGGAAGGGCAGUAAAUUAAUACCUUGCUGUUUUGACGUUACCGACAGAAUAAGCACCGGCUAACUCUGUGCCAGCAGCCGCGGUAAUUAACGU